rnacentral:rRNA from 1 species
AUUGAACGCUGGCGGCAGGCCUAACACAUGCAAGUCGAGCGGAGCGGCGGAAGAGUGAGUAAUGCCUAAGAAUCUGACUGGGCGUGGGGGAUAACGUCCGGAAACGGGAGCUAAUACCGCAUACUAUCAGAUGAGCCUCGUUCGGAUUAGCUAGUGGGUGGGGUAAAGGCCUACCAAGGCGACGAUCCGUAACUCGUCUGAGAGGAUGAUCAGUCAAACUGGAACUGAGACACGGUCCAGACUCCUACGUGAGGCAGCAGUGGGGAAUAUUGGACAAUGGGCGAAAGCCUGAUCCAGCCAUGCCGCGUGUGUGAAGAAGGUCUUCGGAUUGUAAAGCACUUUAAGUUGGGAGGCGUUACCAACAGAAGAAGCACCGGCUAACGUCGUGCCAGCAGCCGCGGUAAUAC